AUUGCUCACUGGGCGAUGUAGGCAGAAAUCGUUGAAAUUUAAAUCAUAUUUUAUGUUGGAAUUAUAUACCUAUGUUCAGCUAUGUUCAGGCAUGUCUACAAUCACGACCUGGGCCCUAGGACCAUGCCUCAGGACUACCUGGCAUGAUGACUCCUUGCUGUCCCCAGUCCACCUGGCCGUGCUGCUGCUCCAGUUUCAACUGUUCUGCCUGUGAUUAUUAUUUGACCAUGCUGGUCAUUUAUGAACAUUUGAACAUCUUGGCCAUGUUGUUAUAAUCUCCACCCGGCACAGCCAGAAGAGGACUGGCCACCCCACAUAGCCUGGUUCCACUCUAGGUUUCGGCCUUUCUAGGGAGUUUUUCCUAGCCACCGUGCUUCUACACCUGCAUUGCUUGCUGUUUGGGGUUUUAGGCUGGGUUUCUGUACAGCACUUUGAGAUAUCAGCUGAGGUACGAAGGGCUAUAUAAAUACAUUUGAUUUGGUCCUAUUCUGUGAGCUUGUGUGACCUACCACUUUAACACUGAUGCUCCUAGAGGUUUCCAAUUGACAAUAACAUCACUUUGUUGACCGGUGCAGCUCGAGCAGGGCAGAAAUUUGACAAACUGACUUGUUGGAAAGGUAGCAUCCUAUGACGGUGCCACGUUGAAAGUCACUGAGCUCUUCAGUAAGGCCAUUCUACUGCCAAUGUUUGUCUAUGAAGAUUGUAUCCACUAAAUCCACUAAUUUGAAGUGGUGUCCACAUACUUUUAUAUAUAUAGUGUACUCUUUAUGGCUGUGCAGUCUAAAAUCAUCAGAAAGUAUAUAUGUAAUGUUGACUCAUAUCUGUGCAGAUCAGAUCAUGACUCAAUAGCUUUGUUGGAGCCUUCCAACAGAGAACAACAUAUUAGACAUAUUAAAAGGUCAUUUGAUUUCAUUAGGUACAAAUAAGUAUUGGAUACUGGUUAUGCUUUAAAAAGUACAUCUCAACAUGUACUACUGUUGUCAAUUUAGCUUUUUGCCACUUAAUGACAUGCUCUCACUUAGUUGAAAAACUUAUGAUUUCAAGCAGUUCUGAAUGAAGAUACUUUGUUUAAAAACUACACUAAAAUGUUUAAUUUGGUUGAUAAAAAUUAGGUAUUGUUGAAAAUAAAAAUCGAUUUUUAAACUGAACUCCCCUACCAGGAAGGGGGGGGGGGGCAGUAAGUAUAGCAGGGUUUGUUCCCAGAAUAGUAACUCUUCAGGUGUUGGUGCAAGAAUUCUGUGCUUUAACCUUUCAAUACUGUCAUGUUUGAAUAAUUGUAACACAAAAUGAUUCGAGGCCAAAAGAUUGAGUUGCUAACUCAAGUCUCAUUCAUGUACAAGUGUGACUGGCACCCAACUAUUAUUUUCCAACAAAUAUCAUCCAGUUAAAAUUAAGUUAAUCAAAACAAAACUUUACUUUGUAUACAUUUUUAAUUUAAAAAGUUUAUAACACUUCACCUAUAGAUUGCAACAUUUCUGAAGUCAGGUACAUCACCUAACGAUAAGGUGUAAAAACACAAUGCUAGAAAAGGUUUUUUUAUCCAUCAUAUUCCAAAAAUGUGUUUCCCCAAUCUCAUACUCCAGUUAAGUAUCAAUGUAAAAUAAACUCCAUAUAUAUGUG